rnacentral:rRNA from 1 species
AUUGAACGCUGGCGGAAUGCUUUACACAUGCAAGUCGAACGGCAGCACGGGAGCUUGCUCCUGGUGGCGAGUGGCGAACGGGUGAGUAAUGCGUCGGAACGUACCGAGUAAUGGGGGGAUAACGCAGCGAAAGCUGUGCUAAUACCGCAUACGCCCUGAGGGGGAAAGUGGGGGAUCGCAAGACCUCACGUUAUUCGAGCGGCCGACGUCUGAUUAGCUAGUUGGUGGGGUAAAGGCCUACCAAGGCGACGAUCAGUAGCGGGUCUGAGAGGAUGAUCCGCCACACUGGAACUGAGACACGGUCCAGACUCCUACGGGAGGCAGCAGUGGGGAAUUUUGGGACAAUGGGGGCAACCCUGAUCCAGCCAUUCCGCGUGAGUGAAGAAGGCCUU